UACGUAGGGUGCAAGCGUUAAUCGGAAUUACUGGGCGUAAAGCGUGCGCAGGCGGUUUUGUAAGUCUGUCGUGUAAUCCCCGGGCUCAACCUGGGAAUUGCGAUGGAGACUGCAAGGCUAGAAUCUGGCAGAGGGGGGUAGAAUUCCACGUGUAGCAGUGAAAUGCGUAGAGAUGUGGAGGAACACCGAUGGCGAAGGCAGCCCCCUGGGUCAAGAUUGACGCUCAUGCACGAAAGCGUGGGGAGCAAACAGG
rnacentral:rRNA from 1 species